UAAUACGGAGGGUGCAAGCGUUGUCCGGAUUUAUUGGGUUUAAAGGGUGCGUAGGCGGCCCGUUAAGUCCGUGGUGAAAGCCAACAGCUCAACUGUUGAACUGCCAUGGAUACUGACGGGCUUGAGUACAGACGAGGUAGGCGGAAUGGAUGGUGUAGCGGUGAAAUGCAUAGAUACCAUCCAGAACACCGAUUGCGUAGGCAGCUUACUAGGCUGUAACUGACGCUGAGGCACGAAAGCGUGGGGAGCGAACAGGAUUAGAUACCCUGGUAGUCCACGCUGUAAACGAUGAUUACUCGAUGUUGGCGAUACACUGUCAGCGUCUUAGCGAAAGCGUUAAGUAAUCCACCUGGGGAGUACGCCCGCAAGGGUG
rnacentral:rRNA from 1 species